rnacentral:rRNA from 1 species
UACGUAGGGACCAAGCGUUGUCCGGAAUUAUUGGGCGUAAAGAGCUCGUAGGCGGCCCGUUCACGUCGGAUGUGAAAGCUCGGGCUCAACCCUGAGAGGCCAUUCGAUACGGGACGGCUAGAGGUAGGUAGGGGAAAGUGGAAUUCCUGGUGUAGCGGUGAAAUGCGCAGAUAUCAGGAGGAACACCGGUGGCGAAGGCGGCUUCUGGGCCUUACCUGACGCUGAGGAGCGAAAGCCAGGGGAGCAAACGGG